AUCCAGCUGACGAGUCCUAAAUAAGACGAAACGCGCUCCAAACUGGAU
rnacentral:hammerhead_ribozyme from 1 species